AUGAACGCGAUGGGGAAAUUCGGGAAGCCCACCAGUGUACAGCGCCUGGAUUGCUCUUAAAAAUUCACUAGACCAACGCUUCACGACCUUCCGCCAGCGCACCGGAAGACAUAAUGCCCUAGAACAAUUUGUUACACCAGGACUUGGCACAAGCGCAGGAUGUGCUAUUGUUUUCUAAAGUGAAAGGAGGACUGAAGAGAGCACACAGGUCAUUCUCAGAAAGAUCAUUUCUAGGAAGGAGAGCGUGUGUGCGUAAGUUGAGGGUUUGGAAAUGGAUUUCCUUAAGAUCAUCUGUUUCCAUAUCUUUGGAAAACUUUUUUGUAGGACCCCUGCCUGAAGGCCACUACCCGAGGGGUGCCCGAAGGUGCCGCACAGGCUUUGUCUGAGAAAGUAGGAAGAGGAGGGGGAAUCUGGAACCAGGUCUGUUGCUUCAUCUGGAGCUCCGGGGCAUGUUUUUAAAGCUUUAUUUUCCUGUUUCACAUUUAAACUUUUAUUUGAUGGGAGAGUUUUGCUGCUAAAAAUAAAUCUGAAGAAACACAGCUUCCAUGAGGAGCCAUUUAAGGAUUUUAAGCAGGGAAAUGACAUAAUUAGGUUUUUGUUUCAAAAAAUUGCUUUGGCAUCGGAACACAUGGCUCAGACUGAAUAGGAGGAAGACAAGACUAGAGAUUCAAAGCGAGGCACAUGGCGCCUGCCUUUAGUCCUGGCAUUCGGGGUGGGGAACUGGGGCAAGGGGUUCACCACAAGUUAGAGGUCUGCCGGGCUACUGGUGAGUUCAAGGCCAGCCUGGCUUACAGAGUCAGACCCUGUCUCAGAACAAACAAACAAAAUGAAACAAAAUAAAAAUAAAGACCGGACACGCAGAAACUUGCCAACUAACCAAAGGAAACAAUUUCUUGGCACUGCAGCCCUGGGUUCCAUCCCAGGAUGGCAGCGUUCACUUUCAUUGAAGCAAGGACUUCCUGGAUUGCCGUCCUGUCCAGCAAGCGCAGGCUUACAGUAAUGUUUGACUCCUCUCCAUCCUGCAUAUCCAAGCUGCCCCACAUCUUGUUGCUUCUUUCUUUCUUCAAACUGUCUCUCUUACACUCAUCGUCCCCCAUCAGGCACCUUACAUUUUGCGUUGAGCUUUCUGCAGGAACUUCAGGGACUCCUGCUUUUAGUUCCUUUGCCAGCCGGCUCUUCACGGCCACUGCUUUGCUAUUCAUGACACACUGCCGCAAACGCAAAAUCAGUAGCUUGUCAAAUCUUAUUUCAGAUUUCUGUAUCUCUUCUCAGUCUGAGUAGAGCAGAAAGUUAAAAUGCGAUGACUACGUUUUUAUUCUCUGGGCCACGUUUCCUUUGUUUCUUUCUGUGUGAGCUGUUUGAAAAUUUAGCAGGACUUAAAAGGCAAGGGAACAUCUCUCCGUCUUGCCGCCUGCCUCUUGCCGCGUCUCAGGGAAAGGUUUUGUGAUGAAAGUGGAAUUUUAGAUGGAGUGGAGAAGAGACCAUAACAGAGAAUAUUAUGCUUGCGAUUUUAUGCUAUCAGAUUCUUCCUGAAUUACUGGCUUUCCAUGAAGCAACUGCUGGUCUGGAAUGUUUUCAACAGAGCUGAUAUUUCUGGCUCCUGUUCAUGUUUUAGAAUAUUUAGACAGGUAAGUUGGAAACUUGGCUCUGAUUGGAAAAAUAUUUGAAACUUAUUUCUGCAAAAAGUUGUGUUGGAUAUUGAAUCCAUGGCCUCAUGCAUGCUAAACCCAUACUUGAUUUCUGAGCCACACAUCCUGCCCUUAAAGUCUUUUUAACUUUUAAAAGAAUGAUAGAAAUUUAAAGCAAAAGCUCUUGACUCUUAAAUAGUCAUCGCAGCUCUUGGAGGAUGUUGAGAAGGUGAAUUGGACUGCAGGUUGAAAACCAUCUUGUGUGUGCUGCCUAUUGCUAGAAAGGUUUAAGACAGAGAGAGGACAGGGAGUGUAAGCUGUAGUAGUUUGACCUAUUUUCAGGAUUCUGUUUCUCCCUCACUGGACCUAAAGAAAUACUGCAACAUAGAAUUUCAAUGUGAUAUUUUUUAUUAUUUAUGUGGUACUGGAGAUCGAACUCAUGACCUCACACUCACCAGGCAGGUGCUUACAUCAUUGAGCUAAAUCCCCGCUAAAUCCCCAUGUAACAUAGAAUUUUGAAACAGUCUGUUUUGCCUUCUAUCUGCCCCACUACCCUUUUCAUGCUGCUGCUUCCCUUUCCUUAUUGACAUGUGCCAUGUUCACCUGGUUAAUUUGAUCUUACUUUCCAUGGCUGUUUUCUGCCCUGUGUUGUCAGGGUCUCUCAGAUCAGUCUAACUUGUGUCCUGGGGACAGCUGUGUAUGGUCAAAGCCUUUUCCAAAAGCCUGGCAGGUCACACAGACAAGACUGGUAUAUGUUUUGUUUCUUGUACAAGUCUGGGGUCGUGGUCCAGAUCUGGCUGUGAAUCACAGCUGGUAUAAAACUGUUCAUUACUGUCAGUUUGGCGCAUCAGAGUUUCCCAUGGAGAGUGGUGUGAACCUGAACCCCAUGACAGUCCCAGAAGUAUGCCAGGGUCUUGAGGCUCCCACGGCCUGAGCAUACCUGGGUUAGGAUUUCUUUGUGCUAAGGAGCAUGGCAACUUAGAAACCACAACAGCUAACCACUAGCCAAUGUGUUGCUCUCCAGUUUAGUUCUGGAUCAGAUUCUAAUCCAGAAUUAGUAUCUGGGCCAAAACUUCCCAGAAGAAAUUACAGUAGUGUCUGUGGAGUAGUUGAAAACCAUUAUAACCCUCAGGAGAACCUGGACCCUAAGCUGGAUGCUGCUUAGGCCAGGAGAGCCUGAGAUUUCCCAGGCUUUGCGAGCAUUACAGCAAAGAGCUAAAAUCUCAUUGUCCAUAACAACAAAAGCAGCAGUAGCUUGGAUAAUUGCACUAUAUAGAUAACCAUUUAUUUAUUUAUUUUUAGUACUGGGGACUGAGCCCAAGGUUUUCAUACUGAGCUACAUCCCUAGUCUUUUUUUUUUGUCUUUUUCAUUUUUAUCGGUACUGGGGAUCGAACUCACGACCGCCUGCUUGCAAGGCAGGUACUUAUGCCGCUGAGCUAAAUCUCCAGCCCCUAUCCCUAGUCUUUUUGUAUGCGUGUGUGACAAGGUCUUGUUAGACAGGGCUCUAACUUGCAAUCCUCCUGCCUUAGCCUCCAAAGUUCUCAUUUAUGUAGUGUGUUCAGCCUCUCAAAAGCUGAAAGAACAAAAGACAAUUCACUGCGUGAUGAUUUUGGAAACUCCACUAAGCAAUUUAAAUUGUAUCUCCAGCCCCUCCUCGCUUUGCAGUCUAUGCCAACAGGAAGGACGAGGGAGGGGGAAAAGUCUAACUCUUGGGCAUUGUAUCAUUUUGGAUUUGUUUCUUUCAUGAGAAGCAAUUUUUGGUUGAUUAGCCAACAGUUAGAGAGCUGUGUCUCUUGAAGGUUGUCUUGUCACCAUGCUGACUGCUCCAUCCUUUCUUUACUUGCCACGGUAGGACAGAAAUUUUUUUUUCAGAAUUCAUUUUGAACGAAUGUCUGGAGCCUGGGACUGGGGUUACCAUCCCCUCAAAGAAGAACCACUCCUGCUGUGCUUGAGGCAGGAGGAACUGUCAUCGAGGAAUGCUUCUGUGACCUGGGGCGGUUCCAUCUAUGUGUUCCUCGCGGGUACCCCUCACCUUUCCUUGUGUUUCCACUACUGCUUGUGCAGACUGCCAUCAGGGUUCAGUACAUAACGGCGCGUGAGAAUAAAAUGGCAUUGUCCGUAA